rnacentral:lncRNA from 1 species
AGAUACACUUUCUUUUUCAUUGGAUAGAAUAUCUUUGGAUGGACCUUCUGAUCUGUUUUCUAAUAUUUCACCAUUUGAUAUUUCUCAUGGACUGAAGUUGGGUGCUUUGGUGUUUUCACAAUCCUGUGAGGGAAUUUGGAUAAUCUGUUCCUCCCAAAGUCCAGAUGAUUGAUGGACUCAUCCCUGUAGAAUUAUCAACCUUUCAUAAUUGAAAUUUAAGUAAGCUCAUCCUAGUGUGUAGCUGCAAGGAACCACAAGUCUCAAGUUUGAGUCUCCCCAAUAUUUAAGUGGUUUAGGGUAGAGGGGCAGACUCAUAUCUUAUGGGAGUGUUUCUAGCAGUUAGAAUAAAUGUCUUGCUAUUGGGAUAGAUUCCGUUCUUAAGAAAGAAGAUUUCCUGUAUGUCAUGAUAUAGCUCUUCCAAGUAGUACAUUGUUCAUUCUUGAUGAGAUACCCCUUUUGGUUUGAUAGGCAAUCCCUUUUUGCCUGAGUGGGAUUAGAAACUGGUGAUUAUUUAUUCUUGUUAGUUAAAAUUUUGCUGAGGCUAUGUUUUUCCCCAUAUAAUAUUUUAUGACAAGAAACAUAUCCUAUUGUUUAAUGUAGCCUCAAAAGCUCCAUAAAUGUGAAAAAAUUGCUCCUUUGUAUGGAGAUGUGUACAAAAUAAUGGUUACCACUCAGGUGCUGAGUUGCAUCUUGCCAAAGAUCAACCUAAGUUUAGGUUGGGUAGAUGUUUGAUAACUCAAAAUCCAAUCUAGCCAAUGGAAAACACAGGCCAACCUGACCCUUUCAAGGCCACUCAAGGAUCAGGUUGGCUGGCCUGAUCCUGACUAAGUCUAUUGAUGUUGAAUUCAGCAUGAAAUAACAUCUCACUUUAUGCUGAUGGAAAAUGACUUCAUAUCCAUGUUUACAUAUGUAUAUGUAUUAGCAUGUUGGAUGCACUGUGUCAUGCGUUUUUGUGUUUGCGUGUAAUUCAAAUCACCAUCUGCAACCGGACCUGUGAAUCCCGUGGUGGUGCUAUUGGUCAUUUUCCAUGAUUUCUUCUGUUCUAUUAGUGCCUAUUCCUCCAAUUUUGGCCAACAUUUGUGCGGAUGUCCACAAAAUUCGGAAUAUAAUGUAUAAUAGAGAUGCCAAGAGCAUUUGCUUGCUAAAUGGCAUUGACAUGCCUUUACCUUGUUACAAUCAGAUAAGCCUUGACCUUGUUGAUACAUUUACCUCUUAUCUAAUUCGCUCACCCAUUAAACUAUUAUUCAAAGCCCCAAAUAUUUUCUUGAAUUGAGCUUUGACCAUCUCAUCUGAAAACCAAUUAGUGUCCAAUGAGGGUAGGCUAAAACUUUUAUGGCAUUCGACCACCAUCAUUUGGGCGAUUCAUUCAUUGGUCUUAAGAGUGGCAUUGCUGCACUCCAACAAUCCUUGCCCCAACAUGACGCUCUUAUGGCUCGAACCCAUGACUCUGAUUUUGAUACUAAUUCUUAGAUCGGGCUUUGACCAUCUCAUCCGAAAACCAUUUGGUGUCUAGUGAGGGUAGACUAAGCCUUUUAUGGCAGUCAACCACCAUCAUUUGGAUAAUCCAUCCAUUGGGCUUAAAAGAGACACUAUUGGAUCCCAACAUAUUUGAUUAUUUAUCUAAUUUAAUUAGUUAUAUUUGAAAAAAAAAAAGUAAAUAAUAAUGGUUCCUUAUUAUCUAGAAAAGAACGACAGUUCUCUUUUUUAUCAUUUCUUUCUGUGGUAAGAUGCUCUAUGGGACAAUCCUCUAUGUUUGUAUUGCCCCCAUUUUGAAUUAAUUGGUAAGUUUAUAAAGCUUCUCUGCAG